rnacentral:lncRNA from 1 species
ACAAAUUCAGACUUUAUUUUUAUCACAUUGUACUUGAUCCUUUAAUAACUCUGUCGACAGAUUCUUGAUUGGCUGUCCCUGAAUAAGAUGCUCUGACUGAUUUCUGCUAAAAUACUGAGUAUAUUUUCUACAUGUUCACUGAUGUCUUUUCUCAUUGUCAUCAUCAAAGUUCAUGAACACAUUUUUGAAGUGAAAAACCCAAAUUAUUCUGUGCAUAUAAAUAAUAUUUUAACUGGCUGAUUGUAACAGUAUGAGGGGCCUUUUAUAAUUUCAUAUGACACGUGAAAAUUAAAAGUUCAACUUCAAUCUAAAAUAUUUAAUGAAAGCACACCAAAACAAACUCCGUAAUCUAAAAGAAAACUACAAAAAAAUUGCAUAGUAUAUUAAAAUUAAUUAUACUUUCAGCGGUUGAAGAGAAUGAAGUAUUGAUUAAAUAAAUUUAUUAAAAGUGCAAUGGGUAAACCCAAGUUCCAAGUCAAAUUUUCCAAAAUAACAUUAUUUUUCACAGCACAUAUUUACUCAUCUCAAAUAUUCUUCUUUCUGUAAAUAGUAUUACAAUCCAGCCAAUUGCUCUCACCCAAACUCCAGACAUCUUCUCUAAUUUCUCAUUUCCCCCUUUUCAGCAUAUAAUCCAAUAGCCUAUUUUAUUUGUCUUACUUCCAAAAUGUGCUUAUGAUCUUUCCUCUCCUUUCAAUUUUACUUCCUAUCAACAUUUUCCAAAUAAGCAUCUCAUCUCAACUACUGCAAUAGCAUCUGUGACAAAGACUGCUGGAACCACCACCUCCUCAGUUUGUAAGUGUUGCCUUACCACAUAUAUGCUAGUACUCAAGAUGUGUGGCAGAUGUUGGAAUCUCAACAUGAUGACGGUAAACUACUUGUUUGAGAUCUACUAUUUGGAAACAAAGGAGGCAAUUUUGGAGAUGGUCAAAUACAACUUUUUUUUAAUGCCAUAACCUAUUACCAACUUGUAGAUGAAAAUUUCACCUUUAAAAAAAUCUCUACUAUAAUCAUAUUUUUAUUGUAUGAUCCACAAAAUAGUUCAGACUUCUAGUCUGAGUUAUUUUCCUUUUAAUUGAAUGCACAAAUAAAAGGAUGUUUAUGCAGAUUAAUUUAUGAAAA